rnacentral:rRNA from 1 species
UACGGAGGGAGCUAGCGUUGUUCGGAAUUACUGGGCGUAAAGCGCACGUAGGCGGUUAUUCAAGUCAGAGGUGAAAGCCCGGGGCUCAACCCCGGAACUGCCUUUGAAACUAGAUGACUGGAAUCUUGGAGAGGUCAGUGGAAUUCCGAGUGUAGAGGUGAAAUUCGUAGAUAUUCGGAAGAACACCAGUGGCGAAGGCGACUGACUGGACAAGUAUUGACGCUGAGACGCGAAAGCGUGGGUAGCAAACAGG